rnacentral:tRNA from 1 species
GGAGAGAUGGCUGAGUCCGGUUUAAGGCGCUCGACUCGAAAUCGAGUGACGGCUAGAAACCGUCCGUGGGUUCGAAUCCCACUCUCUCCGCCA